ACUGAGCUCAAGCCUUCACAUUGGGCCUGACACUCCCCACCCCUGUCAUCCCCCAGAGGCACAGCCUUGACCCACAGGGAGGUUCCGGAAGAAAAUUCUUCCUCCGCUUUCGUCCAGAAUUGAGGAAUGUUUACUAAUUUUUCCUUCCUAUUUGCCUGGAAAUGACACUAAAAACAAGAAAAAAAAAAAAAGGACUCCUUGUCCCCGUGCAAAACACCCACACCCUCUGAACUCUUCACCCUGCCGCCGUCUGACUUCACCCCAGGAUGGCGAGGUAUGAGGUUGGCGGAAAGGUUCUUGGGAGGAUAAGCUUGGCCCGGGAACAAAAGCUGAUUUCGAAAGCUUUUUGUGCACUGGAGGGGGAGGAGUCUGAGCAAAGACUAGAGGAAGCAUGGAGGGGGGAGUUCUGCAAAAAAACCUUAAAAUUCCCCAGGGAUGCUGGAACUGUGAUCUGAUCAAUCCUUUUAGGAUCUUGCUAUUCUUGGGGGGCGUGGGAGGCUGCUUAUGAACCUUCCCUUUCUCACUAGCCUUGUACCAAGCUCGGGACUAGCCCUUUCCUUCUUUAAGAGUCAGGCUCAGAAAGGAAGGGCCCUGAAGAGAAGGCAGUAGGACGAGGCAGGGGCUGGGGUUCUGCAGCCAAAGAGUCCAGGGUCUUCAGCUUACAGACCUGCUGAUCAGACACCCACCAGGAAGGGUGCAGCUCCCAGGAAGGACCCAGCUGAGCAGAGGCGUGGGCCAGAAUGCGAGUGGGGCCGUGAGCCUGGAAAGGAGGGGCAUUCCAGAAAAGCCUGUCUUCCCCAGCCCGGAGGCUCCAGGGAGCCGAGACUCUGGUUCUCUGUAUCAUAAAAAGCACUUAUUGUGCUGAUGAUGUCAGUGGUAUUUCAGGGCCUAAAGAAGUCUAGUUUUUCACAGACUCUAGGACAGAGGGCUCCCAACACUCUUCAAAGGAUGCUAGGCCCUAAAUAAAAUCCUUAUGUCACCAGGCCACCAUGUCUCUCUCUCUCUCUCAGGCACUGGUGCCAAGAAGCAGUCAAAACCCCCCAUCAGCCAAUGGCAGCACUUCUUGGAUGAGUUUCCUGAAGAGCUUAAUCAUGAACAAAUUGCUGUCACUUCGCCUGCAGCUGACAAGCCCAGGAGAGUUUCAGGACCAGGCCUUCCCUGGGGAGAACACAGGAUUGAAACUUUCCCCUUGGGGGCUGCUGCAAGACCACCCAAGGGCCAGCAAAGGAGCCAGUGACUGGUGAGCCACAGCCCACAAGGUAUGCAGGGUCACAUUAUACAGAAAUAGCAAAAGGGACAAGUUCCAAGUGGGAAAUGGCAGAUAAUGGGACAAGAUCUUGAGUCAGCAGAACCUUUAUAUCAAAAUCAAUUUAAGUCUGGGAGUUCCCUGGUGGUCUAGUGGUUAGAAUGCAUUGCUUUCACUGCUGCCCGGUUCAACCUCUGGUCUGGGAACUGAGAUCCCACGUCAAGCCACUGCACAGUGUGGCCAAAAAAUAAACUAAAAUUUAAGGCUAAUCUUUCA
rnacentral:lncRNA from 1 species